GCACUACUGAGGAGUCCCACAAUAGGACGAAACGUCCGUCCAAUGC
rnacentral:hammerhead_ribozyme from 1 species